UUUUUUUUUUUUUUAAAGUUUCUCUCUUCCUUUCUUCUAAUUUUUUUUUUGUCUUUCCUGUUGCUUUUUUUGUUACCAUCUUGUUAUCAAUAAAUACUUUUGACAUCUAUCAUCUGUCUUUUUUUACCUUUAUGUCUCCAUCGUCCUUUUGUUCAUGUUUCUUCUAACGAUGAUUAUACCAUAGUCAUAUAAUGCUUCUUUUAUUCUAUAAUUUCAAAAAUAUGUCAAAUCAUGUUAGAAUUUUAUCUUCUUAUCUUACAUCUUCUUCUAUUUCAUUCUUUACUCAUCUUCCACCUUCUUCCCAUCUCAAGUUAUUCACAGAGCACCUGAUCCUCAUCUCAUUUUUCUCCCCUCAAUCUAAGCUACGUUUUUUGGUUUUCUUCUUCUUUUGUUAUAUCAAUCCAAAAUAUCAAGGUAUGUCUCAAAAUUCAUUAAAUGUUAUUGAUCAAUCAUCACCUUUACCACAACCUAACAUUGAGCCCAAAACACCAUUCAUUUCUCUCCUAAUUCUUCCUCAAUAUAUAUCACACCACCCCCAUAUCGUACCUUUCUUGUCCAACUAUUGAAUCCACCAAUAGAACGUUCCAGACCACAAUGUAAUGUUAGUCUAGAUUUUUAUUCUAUCCAACCCGAAAAAUCAUCUGAUUGUAUUCCCAAUGUUACCUACAGUAGUGUUGAAUGUUCAAAAAACAAUGAUUUUCCACUUCUUCCUAAUGCUACCUAUGGUCCUCAUCAAUUUCAUGAUACUCCAUUAGACAUUCGUCAGACUCCUAUUUCUUCUGAGAUUAAUGAUGUAACUGGACUACCUAAUGCUAUUAAUUAUGACGACAAUGCUUCUCCCAGUUUUUUCAUUCCCAAACGACCAACCGAUACCAAUGCUUCUUCAGACAAUGUUCAAGCGAAUUCACCACCCUUUGUUGGUCAACUUUUUCAUAUUCAGAUGCUCUUGACAAAUAUUAUGGUUAUGCGUCGAAAGACGAUUUUUCUGUUCGUUUGGGUUCUACAAACUAUAUUACUCGUAAGGUUGAUGUUAAAAAGAUUUUAGUUAUGCGACAAUUGUUGUGUUUGUAAGAAGGAAUUGUCAACCUACUUGGUACUCUUGAAAAUAAUCACAUCAGAUGUUGUUCAACCUUAUUGUAAUGCUAGUAUGACAUCGUGCAAUGAUCAGCACAAACAAAUUCUUAGUGCUUGCAACUACGCUAUUAAUGCUAUUACUACUUGAUACUCUUGAAAAUGAACACAACAGAUGUUGCUCAGCCUUAUUGUAAUGUUAUUAUGACAUCGUGCAAUAAUUAGAACCAACAAAUUCUUAGUGUUUGCAACUACGCUACUAAUGCUAUUACUACUUGGUACUUUUGAAAAUGAACACAACAGAUGUUGCUUCGCCUUAUUGUAAUGCUAUUAUGACAUCGUUCAAUGAUCAGACCCAACAAAUUCUUAAUGCGUGCAACUACGUUACUGGUGAGACAUGUCUGAUUACGCCAGUCACUCCCAGCAACCCCCUUCAACAAGAACUAGGGUUCCGUCGCUUUAUGCCGGACCCCCGGAGAGUUCCACAGUGCGGAGGAAGUGUCUACGUCAAGUACUCAAGGCAACACCUGGGAAUCGCCGACUCCAGACAGGGCACUCGGGUCUGGUAGACCGAGGACCUGAUUACAAGGAAGUCGGCAACUCCACCUCUGAAUCGGCGACUCCCAUACCUGAGUCGCCGAUUCCCAGCCAUUACUUGGGAGGGCCCACGUUAUUAUGACACCCUUAAUUGGGUACCAUAAUAGAGUAGGCUCCACUCUAAUGAAUGGGGAAACGUCCCCCAGGACCUUAUAAAAAGGGUCCUCUACUCCCAAGUCAUUCUCACUUGACACACACCACACCAGAGCAACCAAGGAGCCUGAGUCGCCGACUCCCACACCUGAGUCGCCGACUCCCCUCCACUUCUGCAUGUAUUUGACGUAGAGCGCACGAAAUCUCACGACGUGCAGAUUCCCUUAGGGUGCAGAUUGCACGUCGUGCAGAUUUCGUGCUUCAUCAGCUGACGCCGUCUGUGGGACUAUCGAACUACGAUAUCCUGUCGUAAUCGUGAAAUUUUUUUCGCAAAGUUUGGCUCGAUUCCCUUAGGGUGAAUCGCUGACUUUGUGUCAAGGAAUUGUCGAUUCACACAGGCAAUCGCUGACUCCACCUAGUGAGUCGCCGAUUGCGGGUUAUUCUCCUAGCUAAGAGUGUUGUCCACGGUUUGGUUCAAAAAGGCCAUAAGUUUAAUCACCGAUUCCACCUAGGGAGUCGCGGAUUGCUUUAGCUUUUUGAGCAAGUGUUGUCAAUGCCUUUUGCUCUGGUACUUACACUUUCAUAUAGGUUGGAUUUUUCAUAGAAAAUCACCUAUCCUCACCUGAGUCGUCGAUUCCCACUUGAGUCGUCGAUUCCCACUUGAAUCGACGAUUCCCAACUGAAUCGCCAACUCCCACACUGAGUAGGCGAUUCCCACACUUGAAUUGUCGAUUCGUUCAUCUUCUUCAUUCAUCGCUACGAUCACAACAGAUGCUGCUCAGCCAUGUUCUUAUGCUAUUAAGACAUCGUGCAAUGAUAGACCCAACAAAUUCUUAGUGGUUCCAAGUACGCUACUAAUGCUAUUACUACUUGGUACUCUUGAAAAUAAACACAUGACAUGCCGUUUGGCCUAUUUGUACCUAAAAUCAUGAUAUUAUGAAAAUCUGAAUUUUUGUUGGAUAAGAGACUAGAAACAACACGAUCCACGUUAGAUAUUGUAAAUUUGAUAUCAACGUCUUCUAUAAAUACAAAUAAUGAGUAUUGAUAUCUUACAAAUCAAUGCAUGUGGAAAUAGCAUUGGACAGUUCAUUUCUCGCAUAAAUUUUAAAAAAAAGAGUUAUAAAACGUCAUCAUCCACGAUUUUAUCUUUUCGUGGUUGGGUUAAUAGAAUUUGGGAUGAUCGGAGAUCGCCAGAAUUAUUGGUCGUAGACAUUUUUUUUGUUUAUAUUUUAUACAAAAUUACUGAAAACUCACCAAAUUUAAUUGUCUAAAAAUUAUCUUUCAAACUGUAAUGUAUAAAUCAUUCAUUCAACACCUUAAAAAAAAAUCUAAAAAACGCACCUUUUACACUGGAAAUAAAACCUCUCCUCCAAAUUUAACCAUAGUAAACCGACUACCCUAUUUCGUUCUAAAAUAAAUGAAAAGGAACCCAUAACUCGAUUUUCAGGAAAAAUAUAUCAAUCAUGCAAUGUAUAAAUCAAACAUUCACAAGUUUAUAAAUAACAUCGAAUGUACCUUAUUGGAUUUAGCACGACGAUGGACGGAGUUGGGGAAGAUGAUCGGAGUUGGGGAAGAUGAUUAGAGUUGGGAAAGAAGAUGUGGAAAUCCGUUUGAGAGAAUGAAAUUGGUUUAUUUGAGUUACAUGUAUACCUAUUUAUAACCUUCUAACUACUAAUUAUUGUAACUAACUCUCUUUAAAAUCAGUUACUUCAAUACGCCCCCCUCAACCGGCGGGACUGUUUCCGACGAGGUUGAUACGUAACUUCUGAAAAAGAUCCGGUUUUAGUGCCUUUGUUAGUAUAUCCGCGCGUUGAUGCUUUCCUGGAAUGUGACUGAUUUUAACCUCGCCGAUCUCCGUCUUUUCUCGGACGAAAUGAAGGUCCAUUGCAACGUGCCGGAGUUUAGUGUGACAAAUUGGAUUAUUUGCGACGAAGGUUGCACCCUGAUUGUCGCUUAACAAUUCCAUUGGACUUGGCACCUUGAUGCCUAGUUCUGUCAGAAGAGACUUCGUUGCUUCUAGUUCCUCUACCGUGUUUGCGAUUGCUCUGUAUUCGGCCUCAGUACUGGAUCUGGCGACCGUGGUUUGUUUUCUUGAUGACCAGCUCACUAGCGUUUCUCCUAGGUAGAUUAGCAUUCCUGUCUGGCUUUUCCGGUCGAUAGUGUCGCCACCCCAGUCUGCGUCGCAAUAUCCUGUUAUAUUGUAGUUUGUUACUGCCGAUAGUGUUAUCCCAAGUGUUUGGGUUCCGGACAAGUACCGGAGUAUCUUCUUUAGAGCCGUCCAAUGUAAUGGUUUUGGUGACGCCAUAAAUUGUGCCAUUUUAUUAACCGGGAACUGUAUAUCUGGUCUUGUCAGGGUGAGGUAUUGGAGGGAGCCAACGAUUCUCCGGUAUUCUGUGACUUCCGUAAUCGUGGGUUCUUCUGAGUGCAGGUCUUGUUGCGUUAUCAUUGGCGUGCUCGACGGUUUCAGGUUCGUGAGAUCGCAACUUUCUAGUAGAUUUACUAGAUACUGUUGUUGUGUCAAGAAUAAAGCUUUGUCCGUUCGCUGAACCUGUAUCCCCAAGAAGAAUGAUAGCUCUCCGAGUUCCCUUAGUGCGAAUUCGUUCCCUAACUUCGUGAUUGUUUCUUCAAUUUUCAGUUUUGACGACCCAGUGAUUACGAUGUCGUCUACGUAUGCGAAUAGGAAUAACACCUCAUCGUUUUCGUGCCAUAGGAAUAGAGAAGGGUCGGCAUAGCUUUCCUUGAACCCAAUAGUUAGUAAGAAAUUUCGUAACCGCUUAUACCACAUCCGAGGAGACUGUUUUAGUCCGUACAAUGCCUUCUUUAACAAGCAGACUCGUUGGGGGUGGUUCGGGUCCUCAAAUCCGGCUGGUUGCGUUACUACUAUUCGUUCAUCUAUUUCUCCAUGCAAGAAGGCAUUGGAGAUGUCUAUUUGUUUGAGUGGCCAAUUCUUGCUGAUGGCGAGUGUUAGGACUAGUCGGAUUGAUGUAGGUUUUACCACCGGACUGAAUGUCUGAGUGUAAUCGGUCCCCUCGAUUUGCCUCAUUCCGUUUGCCACCCAUCGGGCUUUAUAUCGUUCUAUCGUUCCAUCUUCUUUUUGUUUGAUUUUGAAAAUCCACUUGGUAUUAAUGAUGUUAUCGUUUGGUGAUCGAUCAAUUAAUUCCCAGGUUUGAUUCUUUUUCAAAGCAUUGUAUUCUAGUUCCAUUGCCGUUCUCCAUUUUUCAUUUUGCAUAGCCACUCGCGGUGAUUUUGGAAUAAGCUUUCCGUUGGCUGUGACAGAUAAUACGUAUUUGGGAUUGGGUUUUACUAUCCCUUUUGAUGCCCUGGUUAUUGGACGACGUGUGCUGGCUGCCAUCUGCCAAAUCUCCGAUGAGGGUGCGGUUGAUGACGUCUGUUCUGUCGUGAGGUCAUCAGAAACCGCGAUCGACUUAGCUGGAGACGACUCAUCCGUGGUUGAGUUGGUUGGAUUUAAAUUGUUUAGAUCAUUUGUAUUUGAUUCAUUAUUUAAUUGAGAGGAUUCGUUGAUGGCGUUGUUUGAUUUAUUCAAUAUGGCUGGAGAACUCGCACGAACAAUCGGGCAAUGCAUUUCUUGUAUUUGUUUUGCUGAUUUGGUGACUCUUGCACCUUCUUCCUCCUUUAAAAGUUUGUUUAGUGUGAAGUCCCCUUCGAUGAACCGCACAUCCCUGGAGCUGAACAUCCUCCUGUCAACUGGAUCAAAACAUAGAUAUGAUUCUUGAUUCUGAGAAUAUCCGAGAAAUACACAUGGAAUUGAUUUUGGUGCAAGUUUAUUUGGUCUGUAGCUGCGAAGGCAUGGAUAACACCGUGACCCGAAAAUUCGAAGUUUCUCGUGAUCUGGUGGCUGCUGGAACAAGGCUUCGUAUGGUGACAUAUUAUUUAACACUCUGGAUGGAUUACGGUUGUAAGUGUGAGCUGUUGUUAAUACCGCAUAAUCCCAGUAUUUAAUAGGAAUUUUGGCGUGAUGUAGUAUUGUGAGUGCCGUAUCUACUAAAUGCCGGUGUCGUCGCUCAACAGACCCCAUUUGUUGAUGGUUGUACGGGGCGGAGAACCGAUAGCCUAUCCCCACUUUUUCUAAGUUCCUUGCGAGUUUCUUGAAUUCCAACCCAUUGUCUGAUUGUACCUGUUUUAUCGUUGUACCACACUGCCUUUCUGCCCAUACCUGAAAUUUCACAAAUAUUUCUCCUACUUCUGCUUUGCUUUUCAUUGGGAAAACCCAAUUGUAGUUUGUUGAGGCGUCUACGAAAUUGAUAUAGUAACGAAACCCUUCUGAUGAAAUUACCGGGGCUGGUCCCCAUAUAUCAGUGUAGAUCAGAUCAAGAGGAGACGAGUAAAUUUUAUUACUUGGUUUAUGAGGUAGAGCAGUUGAUUUAUUUGUAAGACAAGAAUCACAACUAUUUAUUUUGUUACAGUCCGAUGAACAAUUUUUAUUGCCUAAUUUUUCCAUUGAUCGUUUGUUAAGAUGUCCCAGCCUUGCAUGCCAUUUUUCUCCUGAUAUUCUUUCGCUCGAGAGAACUUGUAUGUGAUUCGUUGUUUUCAUUGGCAAUUUGUAGAGUCCCCCUUCUUGUCUUCCCUCUGCUAUGACUUCAUUAGUCGUGAUAUCGCGAAUCCUUACUUUCUGUUUGUCAAAUUCAACAGAGAUAGGAUUAUCAAUGCAUAAUUGAUGGAUUGACAGUAGAUUCUUAGAUGUUUCCGGUACUACUAAUACAUCUUUUAAUUGGAAUUCUUUUCCUUUGCACAACAUUGUGCAUUUACCUGAGUCCGAUAUUGUCAUUGUUUCUCCGUUUGCCGCUACCACUUUUUCAGAACCCAUAUAUUUUUGAGAAAAAUUAAGUAUCUUACCAUUUGCAGUCACAUGUGUGGUUGCCCCGGAGUCGGGGUACCACAUUGAUACAAUAUUUGCCGAUGGUGCACUUGAGCCAACUCCAAUUGGGAUCAACUUCCGAUUAUGUUGUGGUGGAAAUUUUAGAAAAUUGACCCUGUUGUAACAAUUAAGAGCAGCAUGCCCUUUGCGCGAGCAAAUUUGGCAAGGGGCUGAUUUGAUAUUAUUCCUUCCUUCGUUCUUCUUAGCUUUCUCCAGUGUGUUUGCUUCAAACGAUUUAUUCAAUUGUUCAUCUUGGAUUUCUUGAUCCAUGAGCAAUUGUUGGAAUUGAGUGAAAGACAUGGAGUGGUCAAAGCGGGUGGUGAUGGCAGUGACGAACGGCUUGUAUUCUGCAUCCAGCCCUCCAAGCGCGAUCAGAAUUAAUUGGGAGUCGCGAAGUUUUUCUCCGGCGGAUGCAAGCUUAUCUUUCAUAAUGGCAAUGUGUCUGAUAUAUUGCCCCAUAGACAUCGUUCCCUUCUUGACAGAUUGAAGUUUCAUUCGGAGGUGAAGCAGCCUUGUUUCGGAGUCCGACGAAUGAAUCUGCCUUAGGGAUUUCCAAACCUCAUGAGACGUGGUGAGUGCUGCCACUUGGGGAAGAACCGUCGGAGACAUGGCCGACAGUAACCAGCUUAGGAUCAUUUGAUCCUGUUGCUCAUCGGGAGAUCCUUCGAGGAUUUGAACCUUCCCUUCCACGUAGUCGAGGAGCCGAUAUCCUCGGAGAAGCGCCGAGAACUGUGCUCUCCAGGUGAAGUAGUUGUCUUCUUCGAGAGUUACACAUUUUAAGUGUUUGAUCAUUACAAUCUUUCCCGAUGAUCGGACCGACGACGUUUCCCCUCUUGCCUUGCCUGACGUCGUUAUGAGUGCAGCGGAAUCUGGAUCGUUUAUCCCGUCGGGAUUACCAGUCGAAGAUACCAUAUUGGAUUUAGCACGACGAUGGACGGAGUUGGGGAAGAUGAUCGGAGUUGGGGAAGAUGAUCGGAGUUGGGAAAGAAGAUGUGGAAAUCCGUUUGAGAGAAUGAAAUUGGUUUAUUUGAGUUACAUGUAUACCUAUUUAUAACCUUCUAACUACUAAUUAUUGUAACUAACUCUCUUUAAAAUCAGUUACUUCAAUAGGUUUAAUUAAUAAUUAUGUUUACGAGUAUGAGUAUUAAACAAUCAAACAUAAAUAUAUCUCUCUUGUUACUACAUUUUGGAUACCAUUAAUCCAUCAUACCACGAAUAAAUGAUUAGCUAAAGAUAGCUGUUUAAUUCAGAAUCGAUCAGUUAAUUAUAUAUUUUUCCUUUGUUUCUGUGUCAUUGAUUUCUUGAAUUCAAAUUACUGAAACCAGCUAACUGUUCAUUUCUUCUCUUCUUAUAUUUCGAACCUAUCAUUUUUUUUAUUAAGAUACUUUAGCAUUGUAUUAGUGAUAUGAUAAACUUUUUUUUUUGAAACAAAAUGAUAUAUACAUAUAUAUCAUAUCAUUAAUUAGUUCCUGUGCGGCUUCUUGAAUCUAGUUUCCUUGAUGAUUGAUUUCUCUGUCCCGAAUUUCCCUCGCUUUAACCUCUAAUUCAUCUCCUUCCAUACAUUGAACAAUAUGACUUCGAGCAUCAUCCAAUGGAGACUCUAACAUCUGGAUCCAAUAGUGAGGUUGCUGAUUUCCUGUGUGAUGGUGCGGUAUGAAGUAUAUACCAGACAAUCUACUACAAGUAUAUUACAAAUGUUUUCUCCUCCCGCCCUACAUUCAACCCCUAGGGGUAUUUAUACGCUUUCCUACUGGACCGGGCCUUCUUUCACUGGUCAUGUGGGCUUGCUGGGCCUGGUCGGGAAUGGGCCUGGUCUGAUGGACCAGGGGUAUCAUCAGUACUCCCCCCUUACGCAGCCUGUAAAUUCUUCUUUUCUUUACUUUUCUUGAACUUUUCUGAACUCAACAUGUCUUCGCCCUAUGUUAUUGGAGGAGCUUGGCCGCAACCUAGUACACCAACAAGCUGCUUGGUCCGAAAGUCUUAUUCUCCGCAGGGAAGAAGCUCGCGCCCUUGCUGUUGCCGAGAGACACCGCCUUAACUCUUUGCUUCUAGCUGUUCAAUGUCGCCUUUUUGUUCUUUGUCAAGUUGAAAAUGAUGUUGUGGUUGAGUUCCGUGUCGCUCCGAGUGGUAUCCAUGUAACUCCUGCCGUUGAUCCUGUCUCUGACGACCGCUCUGUUGUUCCUUCUAUUGUUCGACGAUGCCGAGGACGCAGACAGCAUGCUGAUCAUGCGUUCUCUGCCCCCCCUUCGGGUGGUAUUAUGAGCGGGACAUGGUGAACCUUCGGAGCCCCGAACAUGAAUCCGUCGUUGUACCAAUCAAUCCGCCAAUGUGGGAGCAAUGGAAAGCGCACGGGAUUUCUACAGAGCAUCCUCCUUGGCCCAAGACUCUCCAAGACCUUACAUUCUGGAUUCUGUACUUUUGUCGCGCACUUUUAUUUUUACCCCUUGUUUUUUCUUUCACCCUUCCUUGUUUUUCUUACCCCUCGGCUUACACGUGCUUUUUGACAUGUUUCUUUGAUUCUUCGUUGACGUUUCCUUGCGGCCUUUUGGUGGUAGUCUGUCGCUUCGGGAUUUCUUUGUUUUGGCAGGUAGCCUUAUUUGGUCUUUUGGCCUUGAUGCCCUUAGGCUUUUAUUUUGGCGGGAGGUCUUAUUUAGUCCUUCGACCUUGAUGCCCUUAGGCUUUUUUGUUUUGGCGGGAGGCCUUAUUUGGUCUUCUGACCUUACUGCCCUAAGGGUUUUUUCCUUACAGAAUUUCCUUACUUUUUUCCCUGUCUUCACAGAAUUUCCUUACUUUUUUUCAUGUGAACUGUGUUCCAUUAUCUGUUACUUUUGCCCUAAGGCUUUUUCAUUUUGGCGGGAGACCUUAUUUGGUCUUAUGACCUUACUGCCCUAAGGCUUUUUUUUCCUUACAGAAUUUCCUUACUUUUUUCCCUGUCUUCACAGAAUUUUCUAACUGCGUUCUAUUAUCUGUUACUUUUGCCCUAAGGCUUUUUCAUUUUGCCGGGAGGCCUUAUUUGGUCUUCUGACCUUACUGUCCUAAGGCUUUUUUCCUUACAGAAUUUUCUUACUUUUUUCCCUGUGAACUGCGUUUCAUUAUCUGUUACUUUUGCCCUAAGGCUUUUUCAUUUUGGCGGGAGGCUUUAUUUGGUCUUCUGACCUUACUGCCCUAAGGCUUUUUUUUCCUUACAGAAUUUCCUUACUUUUUUCCCUGUCUUCACAGAAUUUCCUAACUGCGUUCCAUUAUCUGUUACUUUUGCCCUAAGGCUUUUUCAUUUUGGCGGGAGGCCUUAUUUAGUCUUCUGACCUUACUGUCCUAAAGCUUUUUUCCUUACAGAAUUUCCUUACUUUUUUCCCUGUGAACUGCGUUCCAUUAUCUGUUAUUAUUUGUAACGGGACACCAAACCUGCAGAUGAUGUUUCUAAAGAUGAACUGAAUGACAUUCUGUUCUGAUAUUGUACUUGUUGGUUCUGAUUCGGUCCAUUUGGUGAAGUAGUCGACCGCAACAAAUAAGAAUUUCUGACCCCUUGAUGCUACUGGAAAAGGCCCUACGAUGUCCAAUCCCCAUCGGGCAAACGGUACUGGUGUGGUAACUGGGUUCAUUAUACUGGAUGACCUUCUUUGAAAUGGUGCUGAUAACAUGAUACCUAUUAUGUUUCAUGUAAUCUCAUAUAUCAAUACAAACCUAUUUAAAGCCUCUGAAAUAUAAUGUUGUAGUUGUAUAAUAUUCUAAUAAAAUGAGCACGACGAUGAAGAAAUUGAUGAAAAAUUUAACCCAAAUUUGUAAAAAUUUAAAAUUUGCAAACCGAAAUUGAUGCAGUUAAGUACGAUCGAUUCACGUCCGUGUGAUUCCGCGUCUGUUUGCCGUCGAGCCGAACGACCGUCUGUUUUAUGUGAGUUUUAUGAAAUCAUGCUUAAGUUUUCCCAUCCAAAGUAGCUUCCCCUUUGCAUUUUAAUCAGAUUGCAUCCAGAUACAGUAUUUACAGGUUUUUGCUGCCUUUGGAUGUGAAUUUAAUGACCAAAAUUCCUCCACAUUUGUUAAAAUCUUACUAUCUGAUUUUUCAAGAUAUGUGAUGAUGCACAUGACAUAUGAAUGGUUAAGAUUACAUAUUCUCAUUAAUUCUCUUAUAAUAAAAUAAAUAUAAUGCAGUUCUUAUAUGAUCUUAUUAGUUUCAUACUUGAUAUGAGUAAAUAUCACUCAAAACUCAUUAGAUGAGAAUCAAUGAAAAUAUGUGAUUCUAAGUCCAAUUUCAAGUAAGAUAAUUAAAUCACCACCAUUUAAUUUAAUUUCAAAUGAUAAAAAUAAAAACAGAGAAUUCGGUGAAAUUGGGUGAAUUUCAAAUGAUAAGAAAUGAAACAAAGAUGAAAAAAUUGAAACAGAUGAAGAGAUAAUAAAUGAAAAAAAAAGGUCAAAUCACUCGAGCCAUGGUCAUAUCAAUACGAAAUGGUCGUGGGAGAAGUUGGGAAAUUGCCCAGAAAACAGAAAGGAAUAUAACUAACCAAGGUAGCACUGUUCUCGCCUUCACCGAUACUUCUUGGAGAACACAAAGUAUGCACAUUUUGAAAAACCCCUAAUCUCUUUGUUUAAUUCUUUUUACGUUUUCGUCGAUAAAACAGCAACGAAACCCUUAACGAAUAACUGAUUAACGGCAAGUCACGGAUAAGCAGAUUGACGAACAGAAAAAAACUGUGUGUAUACGCGGCAGUGAGGGUUGGAAUUUCUUAUUUGAUUGGCCGUUACGAUGAAAGACGGCAGCGGCGAAACCCGAUCUGUUGCAGUUGUCAAUUUGAUCUGUCCAGCAGUUUGUAGCCGUGUAGGAUGGGAGUGCCGGAGUGGAGAUCGAUUUGUGAAGUACAGGGAUUUAGCAAAUCGCAGUCGGGAUUAGGGAUUUAACGUCACCGCUGCCUGAAGAAAUCGACGGGAGAAGGAAAUCGCUGCCUCUAGAUUGGGUGGGAAAUCGCUGCCUCUAUUGGGUGGGAAAUCGCUGCCGGAAUCAAUUUUAAUCAAGUAACGAUGAGAUAUACGAUUUAGCAACUGGUCCAACAUCGAAAAUUCGACUAAAAUAAAAUCGACGAGAUCUGGACAGAUGGAGAAGUAGUCUCUGAUUGAAGAUUGACAUGACCCAGGGAAUUGGAUCUGUUCUGGAACAAAGAAGACGAUGAUGACGGGCCGCAAACUAGGAUGAAAAGAAAGCCGCCGACGACGAAAAUCUCCGAUGGUUAGCAUAAUCAGACAGCCGUCCAUUUGGUGACAUCGAACGGCGAAUUUCAGAGGAGAAGACCGGCACAGCGGAUCGCAUGGUUCUAGAAGAAGCCACUGGGGGAGAUUUACUCGUGUUCCUCUUUCAGAUUCCGCAAGAAAGUGUGAUUUCAAAACAGUCUUGCAGAAGGAGACUGCCAAGGGUGGCGUCGAUUCGCAAUCAUGCUCCACCAUCAGACAACCUGAUUCCAACAACAUGUUCCCAAUGUGCGUUUUUUCCUUCACUCGGACUCCUUUGAGUUGACUGACGCAGAAAUCACCGAACAACGUGUUGCUCUCGAUCCCCAUCCAUCUCUGCAAAUGGGCCAUCAGUACUCGAUUCUAGGGUUUUUCAGAGAAAGGAGAUGAUCGGGGUACAAAAAUGUUAUCAGAAGAAUGCGUGUUCGAUUCACUUCAGGUUCACCACUGAUGGUGCGGUAUGAAGUAUAAAUCAGACAAUCUACUACAAGUAUAUUACAAAUGUUUUCUCCCCCCGUCCUACAUUUAACCCCUAGGGAUAUUUAUACACUUUUCUACUGGACCGGGCCUUCUUUCAUUGGUCAUGUGGACUUGCUGGGCCUGGUCGGGAAUGGGCCUGAUCUGAUGGACCAGGGGUAUCAUCACUGUGCAACUAGCUAGAUCGAAGUUGUUCAUGCCCUGCACUUCUGGGUCAAUCAACUUGUACACCUUAAUUAGCCCUUUCUUUAGUAACCAUCUGGAGAACCUGCAAGUGAAAAAUACGUGGUCGCAUAGUUUCUGGUUCAUGGCCGCAUAGUGGACUCAUCUGGAGUGAUCAUUCCUCACCGAAUUAGCUUGUCCCUCGUCGGGAGAUUCUCUCUCCUUACACGCCACAGAUAAAGCAAGAUUUUAUGAAAACUCGAUGCCCAGAUCCCUUUCGUGCGAGCUCGUCCGUAGGUUGGUUCCUUACCCAUUCCCUUCCAAUAUUUUAUCACCUGGUUUGUAUUGCAAAUUUGCAAUUAACACGUUUGAUUAUGUUUUCAAGUGUCGUAGAUUAACAUACUUGUACCUGUAACUAAUUGAGUGAAGCGGUACAUCAUAUCACAGAACGUCUCAUUUACGACGGCGGGUAUUUGGACUUGCAAAUCGGUACAACAACAAAAACAAAAUACUGAAAAAUAGAAAAUUUACUUUUCUUCGGAUCAAGAUUGAAGACCCCUUCAAAAUUCAAAUGGGACGGGUCAGGGAAAUACCGAGUCAGCCUCGGAUCCAAGCCCACACCUACUGAAAAGUAUUGAUUUCACAUCUCAUACUUUGAAGCAACAGAACCACACAAUCCUAGUCAAAUUUUACGGUCAUCAAAAGAAUAACAUAAUCUAAAUUAUAGUAUUUAAAUUUUAAAUAAAGACAACCCACUAAAUACUGUCCACACACUACUCCCGGUCAUCAGAAAUAUCCCAACAUAGACUGGACUGGAAUAGGCUGGACUAGACCAAUGGUACAAUGAAGUCAAUAGGUACAUUACAGAAUUUACUAAAUAUCUCGGUAUGAUUAUUUGGGGGGGAGGUUAAUUGCAAGGUUGGUGAUGGGAUCAGAUCUGGAACAUUGCCGGAAAAGGCAAGAUCAUUGAAGAACAUUGCUGUCAGUGAGGUCUGAGGAUCAUCAGGCUGAUCGAUUCAUGGAAUCAAGAAUUUGCAGUUGUUACAGUGUGUCAAACCUAAAAAAUAAUUAUUCCAUCUCCACAGAAAAAUCAAUCUCGGGUAAUAGAUUGAGAUCGAAGAUUUCUCUCCUACUCUGCUGACGCAUCGGAGAAGAAUCAUCCAACUCAUUACAGCACGACGAAGAGAAACUCUCCGUUAGAGGCGGGGGAGGCGUCAUAAUCAAUCCCCACGGCACCACCUGAUUUUCCCCAUCACUCUUCUUCGAAACGUCUGAAACCUCUUCACUGUUAAUCCCACCGAGUUUCCUGCCUAAGCACUGAUCGCAAGGAGAAACUGCCUGUCCAAGGUGAGAACCAGUCGCCAUCCAUGGCGUCGGACGCGAACAAGAUCCACAUAGAAGACUCCUCGCGUGUCUCUCCACCAGAAAGUUAGCCCCAUGGACGAUAGCAUCGCAAUCCCAACACAGACUUGCUUUAUCUGACUCGCAGUAAACCUUGGCCGGAAGCUUGCAUAACGUGCAUCUCUCUGUCGACACUCUUUCCUCUCUUGUCAUCUUCUUCCCUAGCUUCUCCGUCCUCGCCUCCUCGGCACUAUUUUCUCCAAUUGGAUUGCAGUCUAACUGUCUAAAAGACUAUUCGAUGAUAGCCGGUGGAUCGUAGGACUCGGGUAUAUAAAAUGAAAAUCGUGGCACGUCCGUAACCACGAUAUCAAACAAUCAGGAGGGACCCACUUAUUGAUGACGUGGUUUAUUUCCCACGUGGUGGCCAUCACCCGAUGGACCCCACUCUUAAGGAUCUUACCGCUAUCGAUGACAUGGAGGAUAUACUUCAAUACAAAUAUCUUAUGUUAUUACAUUCAACAAUUCAACAUGUGAAAAAAUAUUCUGAUUUUUUUUUAAAAAUGGUUUAGAUUAAAAUAAAAUAAAGAGUAAUAAUAAUUAAUAUAAAAAAAUAAUUAAAUAAACAACUUAAAAUACGGUAAGAUGAGUAAAAUAAGUAAAAUUUAUUAAUCCUCGAUUUGUAAUUCAAUAACCAAUAAUGAGUUUUUCUUUCAUUUUUUGAUUGUCGUAUCUUUUAAAUUUAACUUAUGCGAUUUUUUAUAUAAACGAUGGUCAUAGAUGGUAGUCAAAUUUCGUAUAAAAUCUUUUGUGAUAACUUUAACCGGUCGAUAUUUUGAAUUAUUGUUAAUUUAAAGUUUUUACUUUAGGGAGAACCAAUUAGAUCUUGGAACUCUUAAGAUAUUUUUCAACUUUCAAGUAGAGGGCUUGGUGCUGACUAUGGAUAGGGUGACACCUCUGAUUCGAACCCAAUCACAUUGGAUAUGGUAUGUUCUAUGAACAAUGAUUUUUUACCCGAUCGAUCAUUUUUAUCCGACUCAAAACUGAACCCUUUUUCACCCGAUUGACGAAGAUAUUUUUUAAUUGAUGACUGAUUAUCUUUAUAACUUUAUUGUGUGGAAAUUAUAGAUUAAAGUAUGCACGCAUGAAUUAAUAUUUAACGUGUUACAUUAUCUUAUUUUUUUCUCUAUUAUACAUUGGACAUGACCGCAUGACGCAUGAGCAUGGAUAAGGUCUUCUCGGAUAACGGUAUGAUAAUCGACUUGAGCCAUUUUGGUAGGGUUUGAACAUGGUCCGUGGAUCAUACCCUACCUAUGGUCAUUGGUCAGCCCUGCUCUCGAGUUAAGAGUAUAAUUAUAAAUUAUUAAAACUAAAGUUGAGUUAAUUUCAAAACAAUCCCUAAGAAAACGAAUAUUACGUUUAAUCAAGUAAAUAUUUACUAUUUUCAACCUCCAAACCUCAAAAAAAAAAAAAAAAAAAAAAAAAAAAAAAGUAAAUAGCAAUCAAGGUUUAGGUGUGGUUUCUUCCUCCUCGUCCAUCUUACUUCUUCUCCUUGUGACCUUGAUGUAACAGAGAAUGACGCCAAACACCGCAGUGGCGAGUCCUCCAAGCAUGAUUUCUGCUCCCGCUUUUGAUUUGUUAAAACUUGUAUGUUUCUCGUCGUCUUUGCUAGAAACUGCUGUUGUCCUGACAUCUUUUCCUUGGGCUAAAGGUGGGUUGGCAUUCUCUUCACCCUCGUUGCUUGUGUCUCCGGCAGCUGUGUCUUGGAUUGGUCUGGCUAUUGCUACCGAAUAGAUAAGAAAAGAACACACAACAAAGAUUAACAUCCAUCUGGCCAUUUUGAGCGGAUGGGUAUUCAAAUCUCAGAUACUACUAGAGUUUGUCUGAGAUCUCAAAUUCCAUUCGUGCUAUGGGUUUUUAUAGAUGGAUGUUAGAUUUCGGUGUCUAGUCUUACACUGUUAUCCACUUGAGUCAAUUAGACAGCAGAGUACAGCUCACUGAGCAAGUGCUUGAAAUAAUUAACGCGCUUUUAUGUCAUUAUGGUCAAAACUGGUUCUGUUUUGUGAAACCAAAGACAGGUUGAGCUGCAACCGUGUACGUCAAUAUAAAAAUUAAAAAUAAAUAAUGUUCAUAUAAAGAACAAACUGCGAAGCCAAUCAAGCCCAUAAAAUCUAUCGGAUGUCAUGUGAUCUACCGACCAUCUUAUCUGUCUAUACCUUGGAUCUCGUGUCAAGUGUGUCAUCCCAAUCAACUAUCAAGUGUUCUGAAUCAGAUCGUAGUGAUAUGAUAGAUUUCGUAGAUAUGUUUUUAGCUAAUUUGGGAAUAUAAGAUAAUAAGAUAUCAAAUAUUUAGCCAUUUAGACCUUCAGGGUUACAGAAGAUCAAAUGUUUAGGUAAAUAAUAGAACAUGAAAGAAUUUUUCAUUCAUAGUGUGUAAAUCUGUAAAGGAAUAUUUAGAAUUGGGAUAAGUUCAUACAAUCCCCAAGUCACUAACUGUACUAAUACAUAAAACUACUACAUUUAGAUACAUUAACUAAUUAACUAGCAAUCAUCAAUAAUUACAUCACAAAUUCCAAACCACUACAAGCAAUCAUAGCCAACUUUAUAAGUUCAUCAUAUUUAAGAAGCUAAAGAUGCAAGUUUUUUCUCAAAUAGUUUAGCAGAACGGAGGGCCUCUAGUGCAUCAGCUUGAUUUCCUGCACGUUUCAGGUUCAAGGCUCGAAUCUUCUCUGCCUUUAUUUGUUCUUUAAUAUGAUUUCUUUUUGUUUCCAGAUUUGAUGUUUUCAUUGAAAUGCUGUCGUCCGUAGGCGGAACUCUACGAACUAUGGCUUGAUUGGAUUCAAGUGUGGCAGCAUCUGAUUUUGAAGAUGUAAUCCCAUCAAUUCCGAUAGAUUUCAGAGCAGUCAUAAGUUGAGGAUCAAGGAAAUCCUCCACAAGUGAGGUGUCUUCUGUUUUCGCCGUGGAUUUACUACUACUUUCUUCAAUCUGAGCUUCCAAUUUCUUGGCUAAUUCAUAUUCAACCUCUGAUUCUUCCAUCUUUCCUUCUCUUCUCAGCUUCAUAGCUUUUCGCUUGUGGCCAAGAGAUUCCUGUUGUAUUUUGAAACGAUCUCGCCCCGAUAAUGGUUUUUGAGUUUGAGGACUAGUUUCUUCUAUACUUUCUUUUUUCAUAGAUCGAUCAUCAGAAGUAGCUUUUUUCCUAACCUCGUCAGCCUCCUGUAAAUUUUUUUCCAUUUGUUUUAUCUGACGUAGUUCUUCCCGAGCUUCCACUAGUUUUCCUUCUCUCUUCAAAGAAACAGCUUUCCUUUUUUGAGCCAAUACUUUUUCCUUAAGUGAAUCAUACUCUUGUGCCGAGUUUGCUUCGCCUACAGCUACCAAUAUGUCUGGUGAAGAAACAGAAGAGUUUGCUUCACCUACAACUUCCUUUGCUGCGUCAAAUUCAUCUUUACAUAUAACACCACCUGCUAUAGAAUCUCUGAUGUUUUGGGAAGGUUUUGUAUUGACUUCUGCAGCUUCAAAUUCACUAUAUAGAGAAAAUAAACUAUCAGAUUUCUUCGCAGUUUUCGAUGACGGAACGGCUUCCAUUGCAUGUAGCUUUUUUUCAGAUAUCUUUGCAGGAUCAAGAACACUGGUAGAAAUUAAAUCUGUAUGUUUUGAUUGAUGUUGUGUAAUAUCUGUUUCCGCCAUUAGAUCCUCAAGGUCCCCAGUCUUUUUCAACUCCUUGUCCGCUUCAUCCAACUUUCCCUGUCGCCUCAGAGCAAGAGCUUUCCUUUUUAUGCCAAGAAGCUCUUUCUGGAUUUCUGCUUUGCUCCUUGUUUCCUUUGUAGAAACUACAAAAGGAUCAUGGAUAGGUUUGGAAUUUUUUUUAAUAUUUGUAGAUUCAGUUUCAUCAUCUUCUUUCCACCCCAUAUUUUCCAAAACUGACAGUAAUAAUGGAUCUUUCAUAUCUUUAUCUGAUACUUCUAGCUCAUUACUACUGUUGUCAGUGUCUUCAAAUGGAUCAGAUGAUAACAGAACAUCCUGAUAUGACUUACUUGGUAUUGAAGAAUUACUUUUUAUUACGGGAACAUGAUUAACAGUUUCCUUUUCAGUCUUAACUAAUUGAUUUUCCAGAUCCUUGGUUUUUCUCAACUCUUCGUCAGCUUCCUCAACCUUACCCUGACGUCUCAAAGUAAGCGCUUUUCUUUUAAUGCCUAGAAGCUCCUUCUGAAUUUCAGCUUUACUUCUUACUUGCUUAUUGGCAGAGAUAGGUAAAGAAAAGUUAUUUUUAUGGUCAGAAGCUUCUUCUGUCCAUCCCAUGCUUCCUAAAACUGAUAGUAAUUCUGGGUCUUUCAUGUCUUGGUCAGUCAAUUCAUCCCCAUCGUCUUCGUCUAAAAAGUCUAGUGUAAAAGAUGGAUUUUGGCGUGCAUUUUUUUUGUCAAAUUUGGUAACUAUUGGAUUUGGCUUAUCCAUUUUUUCAAGUUGGAGCUCCAGAACUGUGCCUUUCCUCAGCUCCUCUUCUGCUUCUUCAAUUCGUCCUUCUCUCCUCAACGUCAGAGCUUUUUUCUUCAAAUUCAAUAGUUCUCUCUGAAUAACUACUUUGGAUUUUGGUGGUUGUUUGAUAUCAAGAUUUAAUGUAGCAUCAAUGUUUUUUCCCUCAGAUAUUUGUGAAGAAACUGACGCUAAAUCUUGUCCCUUGAUCUGCAAAUUUUCAAGCUCCUUCUCCUGCAGUUUGGCUUGUUUAAAUAGUUUCAUAGCUUCAUCUCUGUUGCCUGCUUUUUUCUGAUUAACUGCUUCUCUUUUCAAAGAAAGCACGGCUUCCUUAAGUUUUUCAAGAUCUACUGGAACAAACUGGGAAAUUGUAUCAUCUUCGUCCGUCCAACCAAAUGAUUUCAAAGCAGAAACCAUUUCGGGAUCAUCGAUAUCAUCAUCUGUUACAUCAAAGCUCUGGUCAAAAGAAAUGUCAGCGCUUAAACCAUUGAUUUGAUCAAAUUUGAUCAUGGGAUCAUUUAAAUUGCUAUCCAAUUCCAAAACAUUAGUGCCCGGCUUAUCAUAAUUUAUACUUCGGAUAAGAAUAGAAAGUUCAUCAUCAGAUUCAUUGCCUUCAGCUAAAAGCUCCUGCUCCUCAAGUUCCCUUUCUAAAUUUUUGGCUCUCUUCAGUUCCUCCUUAGCUUCAGUAAGUUUUCCUUCUUUCUUUAGUGCAAGAGCUUUUCUCUUAUAAGCAAUAACUUGGGAUCUGUCAAUGCCACUUGAUGCUCUAUCACCAAGGGAGGAUAUUUGAGAAUUUUCCCUCAGUAGACUAGACAGUUCACUCUCUACACUCAAUUUUUCUCCCUUUUUGUCAAUAUUAUGCGAGUCGGCUUCAGACCAGCCCAAUUCUUUCAAUUCGGAAGUGAAGUCAUCAUCUGGUGAUUUUCUGGAUCGAGAAGGAAUCUUUUUCUUGUCAUUAACAGCAGUUGCAUCAUGACUUACUUUCUGGAUGGAAGCCAACUUGCGGUUCUUUCUCAUUGCAUUUUCUAAAGACUCUGCCUUCCUCUCUAACUCUUUUCCCCGUUUAAAAGCAGCAAGGGCUUCCUUGCGCUUUCCUUGUGCAUUUAGAACUUUGUACAAUUUCUUUUCUUCUACUGCCUUCUCCCGUAUCUCUUCAAGACUGCCUGGCCUGACUGCAUUGACAACACAAGGUAUGCUUCUAUCGGUCUCUGAUCCAUUUUUUGGUGUAGUAGGUUCUUCCUGUAAAUCUGAUCUUGAUGUGCUUGUUGUAACUGUAUCUAGAUCAGAGAACAUAUCAGCUUGAGAAUUGGAGGAAGAUGAUGGAUAAUUUCCACCUUCUUCUAAAAACCGUGUUAUAUUUUCAUCUUCUUGCAUUGGUAAGAGCUUUGAUCUAGCUGAAGAAGAAGAAGACAUGAUCAAAUGUAAUCAUGGUUCUAAAAAAAUUGGUAAUAUUUGCACAUGAAGAGGAAAAAGAGUUUACUACUAACAACUAUAAGAAGAUGUUUUGAUAAAAUACUCUAACUACAACUUGUAUGAAAUCAUCGUGAAGCUGGCUGACCUUUUUCAGCAUGACUUUUGCGCCCAUAACGUUUCUCAAACCGAGAAGCAUCCUCAAGGUUCUUGCAGGGUUCACAUAUCCGAACAGGGCGAUCACCUUGUCCACGUAGGAUCAUCCUUUGUUGAGUGCAAGUAUUGCAGAACAGACCACCACAUCUCCUGCAGUGAUGCUAAAGCCAAAAAACAAGCAAUUGGUUCAAUGAUUGUGUCAUGUGAUGCAAUGUAAGUUUUUAAAGGUCUGCACUUUCGAACAUAAAAAUGAUAAAGGCUCUGUUACUCUGCCAAAAUUAGCGACUACUGCACAGCAUAAAAAUGAUAAAAGUGUGAACUUGAAGUAACAAUAUUUAACUCAAUACAAGAAAAGUUGAAAUUAUUUUUGUCAAACCCCCAAAAAAUAGAUGUUAUAAUUUUGCAGUUUGUAUUAACUACUCAAACAUACGAAACAACCAGCCAUGGAACAGAAUACUUUCAAAAUAGAACAAAACAGAAAGAUUCCACAUUAUCACUGCUUGGAUCGUAUAAUGAAAUAAAAUAGAAUAAAAAAAAGUAAGGAAAACCGACCCUUCGAUUGAUGAAAGUGAACUGGUUGGAACAGCCUUGGCAGUGAGACGCAUCAGGUACCCACACCGCACCUCUCAAAGAGGGCUUUUCAGAUAAUCUGAUCUUCUCCAUCGUCGGCUAUUCUUAUAGAAACAGGAGAAAACUAUAGCCUACGAGGAAGAAGAUGUCGGAAGACUCGGAUGAAAUCUAACAGGAAGAUGGAAAGAGGGAUUCCCCCAAAAAAAGUUCUGAUGGGGUAAAUUACGUGCGGAUCCCCUCAUAACACUGAAAUAGAUCUUUUCAUUUGUGUGAAAUAUAAGUCAGACUGCACUAGUUGAUCUAGUCAUAUCAAGAUAUGGAGAAAUUAAUAGAAAACUGAAAAAAGGUUAUCAAAUAUGAAAUAUGAAGAAAAGGUUUGAAAUAAUUGGAGAUUUUGAAUCUAGAGUUGGGAAAAUUAUACUAAAGUUGCAGCUUCAUUCACCCAAAAUUGUUUAUUGUCACAAAUGCAGAUGCAUAGGAACCCAAUCGGCUUGACUCCAUCAGAGUGAUUUGGAACCACGUCACUUGGACUGCCACAUUAUUGAAGUUCCCCACUCAGUGAACCCAAUCGAUCUUGUGAUCAUGGUCACUUUUCUGUACGGGAGAAGUAGCCUAUAUGGGAGGACUUGGUUGCUAUCUCGCCAACAGUAAGUAGAGGGAACUAGUUCGUUCUCGAUGACUUUAAUGAUGUCAUGUUUGCCUCAGAUAGAAGGUGACAAGGUGCUAUUCUGAUGAGGGGCCGACAACUUUCAAACAGAUGAAUUGUAAACUAAAGGAACUGACAUUACGUGUUGCAAUGGAUAGGUUGGAGAACGGAAGUGUGAAUCCACACUUAAUUAAGUUCUCGUCAGCCAAAUGUGAAAAUAAACAUGGCCCAUGAUGUACUGUGAGGUGGUGUAUAAUGGAGGCUCGAGUGAUCACCAUGACUUGAGUUCCGACUCCACUCCAUGGACAGACCAAGCUAGGAGGACGCCUUUCCGAUAUGAGAAAUUCGAGCUUCAGUUGGUGUGUAAGCAGAUUUUACGUAGAGAGUAAGAAGAGUAGUUGAAGUAAAGGGAGUUUAAGUUUAUGUUGAAGUAACUUUAUUAUUUCAUCAAAAAAGUCUAUAUAUACAUGAGUUAAGAAGUUGUCCUAAUGGACGGACUAAAAGAAUGCUUAAUGGGCCAACUAAAUUUUGCUAUGACUUGUUUGUGUAUAGACAGUUGGUCUAAUUUCUUCAUACCUGUAAAUAAAACAAUAACAAAUGCAUACACACCUAUAAUCACAAUCAUAAAUAUUUGAAAUAACUCUCAUGGAGUUUUCAUUGUCAUUUUUAGUUUUAAUCCUUGCAUGAUUUAUGUCUUGCUUGGUUGAAUCAUUUUCAUAUUAUAAUCAUACAUGAUUGUAUUUUAACACGAUACAUUAACACAUAUAUGGGAGACGGAUGAAGGCUACAUCGUACUGGUGGAAAAUGUCUGUUCCAAUUAUAUUCAGGGGGGCGGCCAUGUUCGGACGAAGAAGAAGUCUAAGCUCUCAUUACUUAUAACCAAGGAGGAAGAGGAGGCAAGGCAACUUUCCCAAGGUUGAAAGUUGGAGAUUCUCAUACUACUUUCUUUAGCGCAAAAACAAAAGAAAAACAGUUGCGGAAUUCGUAGCUGACUAAACACGCGUGAGGACUUGGAGAAUGAAUGUGUCUGCUAAAUCUUCAAUCUCUAUCAAAAAAGAGGUCAUCACCUGUAAAACCCUGCUUCCAAACGGGGUUUUAAAUAUCAUAAAAUAAUCCGAAAUAUUUUAAUUAAUUCCAAAUAAAAGUUUAAUUAAUCCCACAAACACUCAGUAUUCAGGAAAGAAACUAAAAUAGUACUUAUUACAACAAAGGUGAGGACAAUGACUACAACAUUUCACACUCUACGCACUCGUGCCUCGUCCUCGACGAGUUCUUUGUCUCCUGCCACUCCAGUUAGGCAAGGUUGCCUUCAUUCCCCGCAAUCAUGGCAUGCAUCCGUGAGUGAUUACAUCACUCAGUAUGUAAAACAUAGAUACCAACACUUGUCUAACAUUAUCUAUUAACAUAAUACAUAUGAGUAAGUAAACAUUCAGUCUAAUAGUAACAGUCAUUCAUCAAUCACAAACCCAUCUGGGUCGUCAUUCAUCAUUCACUAUUGGUUAGGUGCUAAAACACCUCGGUCAUAUCUCAUUCAUGUAUGCUUUCAUUCAUACAUACAGUGUUAUUCUUAUUCCCUUGUCCAUUCAUGUAUAUAUCCCCCCUAAUCCUAUUAACAUUUUAAAACAACAACAAGUAUUCGAAACAACCCACAAGAUAAAUAUCUUAAUUGCUAACACAUAUGCACCCCGAUAACAUGUUCAUUAUUUAAAACAAAAAUAAUUAAUCGAACCAGUCCACGUGAUAAUUAACUUAUAUGCAAUUCAAACAUGCAUCCGAUAGCAUUUUCGUCAUUAAAAACAGCAACAUAAAUACUACAACCCACGCACAUGAUAAGUAUCCUACAUGCUACAAAUAUGCAUCAUCUGAAAACAGAGAUAAAUAAGCCGCAAUAAAAUCGACAGCAACAAACUAAAACAACAAUAUAAUAUUAAACAUGGAUAGUUUAUAUGCAAAUCAAUCAUGCAUUCCGACACCUAAAGCCAACAAUAGAAUAAUAGACCCAACAUUCCAAAAAUAGCAACAAAAUAGAGAAAAAUAUGAUACUAAACUCAAUCAUCAACAGUGAAUCGGAGGCAACAAAAUAAGGUAAAUAUAAUAUUAAACUCAAAUAACCCAAUAAUCAACAGUGAAUCAGAAGCAACAAAAUAAAGAAAAUAUAAUAUUAACCUCACUUAACCCAAUCCUCAACAGUAAACCAACGAUAGUGAAAUCCAUGGAUCGGAUGACCCAAGGUGUUUGGGUACCUUACCAUUUCCCUACAUUAUCAUUUAGGAACAUAUUCAUCAAGAUCGGAUCUACUCCGAUACUUCUUUCAUUGAUCAUCUACCCUUCCUUUUCCAUCAACCAUAUCCCUUAUCUUACUCUCGAAUCUAACACUCUACAUACCUCCUCCGUUGUCCGUCGAGCUUCACACCUCCCACACCACGAUACCGGUGCUACCUUACAUAUCCAAGCCAUGCCCUAGCCGUUUUCCUUUCUCCCUCUCCUCCUUCGGUCGUUCUUUUUUAUUUCAUUCCUUCUCUAUUCUUUAUUUUAUUUAUAUUUUACCUUUCUACCCUUAAUCAGGUCACACACACUAACCCAUUAUUACAUCACCGGUGCGAGCUAAGAUGGUCUUCUUAAAUAUGAAUUUGUGACUUGCGCGAGUUCCAUUGGAGACUAUGGUACACAAGACGAUGAUAGAGAUGAAUGCGAGUAAAUCUCUAGGUCCGGACAGGUUUACAACGGUUUCUUUCAAAGUUCCGGUGCAUGGUUCGUUCGGAGGUAUUGGGUGGUGAUACAAUAUCCCGAACUUAGUCACAACACACUAUCAAUUAGAGAUUCAAAUAGCCCAAGAUGAAUUAAGGUACUUAUAUAGGUUUGGAGGAGGUUCUAAGUCAACUCUUGAAAAGUCCGACUUUCCUAGAGUUCGACUUUCUCAGAAGUCGAACCAUAAGAAAGUCAUCCCAGAAAGUCGACUUGAAACCAGAUCUGAGCAGUUAUAUGAUUACGGCUCAAAUGAACAGAUUACAUCCAUAAAAAGUCUUAUAAAUAGAGGGCACUAUUCACUCAUUCAUUCGGGCAAGUCAUUCAGAGUGAAAAAAUCUCAGCGCAAACCUCUGAGCAACUGAGGAGUUCGGGCUGAUUUCCCCACGGAGUUUCCCACCUGACGUUUGUUCGAAACGUCAUCGAACACUGAUCGGGUUUCACCUUCAUCACGGGGAAUGGUCAUUGAUUUUUUCCAUGGUAGAAGAAACAUAAAACAUAUCAAUGCAACCUUUCUCACCUUGAUACCAAAUGAAAGGAAGGUUAGUCAGAUCGAGGAAUUUAGACCGAUCAAGUAUUUUUGCUGGUUUGUUGGAGACUUGGAUCAUCCAUUUUUUUAAGGCCCAAGAUGUUAUCGGUCCUUUAUGCGCUCAACUAAGAGUCUAAGACCCCAAAUAAGAACAUGUUUUUUUUACCAUUUUUAAUGAGAUUGCUGCAUGUUGGUACAGAGGUCCGUUCGAACGGAACAGGUCACAAGCCCUCUCCCUCGAACAACGAUACAAGGAUAAAACAUACAUGGGUAAAAAGUUAAGACUUAAGGCACUUUGAGUUUGAGGUUUGAACUAGAUAAGAUUUUAUUUUGAUUGUUGGAAUAAAUUAACAUAGAAAUAAAAACACCGACAUUGAAAUGUCGAUACUACCCUCCCACCGCUUUGUGUGCGAUGGUAGUAGUUUUGGUGCCUUCUUCUUCGGGUUUUGUUGCAACAAACAAACAUCAAACAAUCAAUAAAUUAACAUCUCACCUAUUCUCACAAACCCUUCAUUGAUCGAACUAAUGCGAUGUCACCCUUCAACCUCGAUCCAUCCCCUCAAUAUUUCCUCAUGAUUUCUAUGUAGUUUGAAGAAUUCGAUUUCAUGAAGGCGGCGGUUUCAUGGGGGUUGAUCAUAGGAAUUUCGAUCGGCGUCCUCUUGGGUUUAAUCUUAGCAAUCACCGCACUUGUCUGCGUUAUCUACAACAGAAAGAAACGCGAAUUCGCCAUCCAAGAAAUCGGGAUUGAGAAUGAGAGCAACACUUCCUGGAGACGAAGCUCUGCUCUCCGGUCUCUUCCUAUUCAAAUCGUCAAUGGAUCUAACGCUGAAGCACCCUCAGAUUCUUCCAAAUCUGAGCUUCAAAUCGAAUCCACUGUGGCGAAGAACGUGCUCUCUGGAAUAUCUAAAUAUUCUUACAAGUAAAGUUUAAGUUCAAGUACUAAUUUCAUCCAUCAAAGGAGUAUAACCUACCUGGCUAUUUUGAUCUGAUUUUAUCUAUCAAUAGAGAGUUGCAGAAGGCGACACGUAAUUUCACGACGGUUAUCGGCGAGGGUGCAUUUGGAGCAGUUUACAAAGCCUAUAUGUCGGAAAGGGGUGAAACCGUGGCCGUGAAGGUUCUCGGGAGAAAUUCAAAGCAAGGUGAAAAGGAGUUCAAAACUGAGGUGUUACUUCUGGGAAGACUGCAUCACAGAAACUUGGUCAAUUUGGUCGGAUACUGUGAUGAAAAGAAGAACAACAUGUUGAUAUAUGACUACAUGUCUAACGGAAGCCUUGCGUCUCAUCUCUACAGUAAUCUCUAAAAUCACUACCAUUGAUGAUUCCCGAUUGAUUACUGAUCAAGUUGUUAUUUCUAUCAACUUAGGGCAACAACACAGUGAAGAAGCUUUAUGUUGGGAUCUACGGAUUUACAUCGCUCUUGACGUUGCAAGAGCCAUUGAAUACCUUCACGACGGAGUAAGUAAUAAGUAAGAAUAAGAUUGUAUUUGUACAUAUGUAAUCAAAUCAUCUGAUCUGCUACUUAAUCCUCAGGCUGUUCCCGCCGUCAUACAUCUUGAUAUAAAAUCGUCAAAUGUUUUGCUGGACGGAUCUAUGAGAGCUAGAGUUGCGGAUUUCGGUUUGUCGAUGGAAGAGAAACCGAAUAAUAACUCACACCCAACUCGCCGGAUUAAAGGAACAUUGGGAUAUGUUGAUCCUGAGUACAUAUCCACAAAAACCUUCACAAAGAAAAGUGACGUCUAUAGCUUCGGAAUCUUGCUGUUCGAACUUAUUACCGCGAGAAACCCCCAACAAGGACUUAUGGAGUAUGUUCAAAUGGUGAGAACGAUAAUCAUAUAUAUAUAUAUUUCGAACAAUUCACUGAAAUUAAGAUUCCUAUUAUCAUUUCUCAGGCAACGUUGAAUUGUGAUGGAAGAGUAGGAUGGGAAGACAUAGUCGAUCCACAAUUAAAAGGAGAUUAUGACUUAAAUGAAAUCAAUAUCAUGGCAAAACUUGCAUACAAAUGUGUAAGCAGAAUUUCCAGAAAAAGACCAUCGAUGCGAGAAGCCGUUCAAACACUUUCCGGCACACUUAAAGGUCCACGACAUAAGGAAAGACAACAUCGAGAUUUCUUGUCGAUUUCGUUGGCAGAUAUUGAUACUUCUUUGUCACUAGAUGAACGCAGAGAAAAAUUCAACACAAAUGGAAGUUUACCAAUCGAUGGAAUCGCAACAAAUACUAAGAUUUCAUUUCAUAGUUGACAUUAAAAGAAGAGUGGGGAGACAAACAAAAAAAUUAAAUUAAUAAUAUCAUUAAUAUUUUGUUUUCUUCAAAUCCCUAACUAUCAUCAUCGGCUACGACAGCAGAUUUUGACGAUCCAGCCUUUUUAGGAAGUAGAAGAUUAUGAAUAUUGGGCAUCACCCCACCAUUAGCAAUUGUAACAGCACCAAGAAGCUUCGAUAACUCCUCAUCAUUCCUCACCGCUAACUGGAUAUGACGAGGCACGAUUCGAGUCUUCUUAUUGUCCCUUGCUGCGUUGCCUGCAAGUUCCAACACCUAAAAACCAUCGAAAAUUAAUACCCAAAAUCAACUGAAAAUUAAUUGUAGAAAAGUAAGAGAGAAAAACUACCUCGGCAGCGAGAUACUCCAAGACAGCUGCAAGGUAAACUGGCGCACCGGCACCAACACGUUCAGCGUAUUUUCCAGCUUUCAAAAACCUCGCAAUCCUCCCAACAGGAAACUGAAGACCAGCCUUGCUGCUCCUAGAAGUUGCCUUCUUAGCCGCUCCAGAUCCUAAAGUCUUGCCUCUCCCUGCCAUGCUUGUGGAUAUAUGAUAAUUAAGAAUUCGAUUUUCGAAAUGAUGUUUGUGUUUGUUUAUAUAAAGGAUGAUGGGAUUGAGGUGGCAACGAUGAACUGGUGAAGUCUUUGAGCACACGGAUUGCGAUCUGAACGGUUGAUUUUGUUACGGAAUGAACGGUGGAUUAGUUUGUAUUCGUGGAAUGGUAAAUAUAGAAACAAUUAUCAAUUAUAAUCCGUCGUAGUCAUGUUAAUUAUGUAGCCUUGUCUUCCUGUAGGCUGUAGCUGUAAGGGAAUGACUGACUGACCACGUAGAAUUUAAAGAUAACAAAAAACUAUUUAAUUAUACAAGAUGGCUAGUUAGUUUAUAAUCCUUCGCGGGUCUAUCACAUUAUCUUUUUUAAAAAGCAAAAUGUUUAUCUUCGUAAACUUCACUAAGAAAUGACUCUAAGUAAGCAUAUAAAUAGAAAUUGUGAUUUUAUUAAGAAGAAGAAAGAAACCAAUGGGAAUUUCGGAAACAACAAAAAGAACCAAUAAACAGAUGUUGAACGAUCGACUCAAAACUAAUCAUAAAUUAGUUUCGAGAAGUAAAGGAUUAAGUUGGACAUGUCGAGAUUUUAGUUUUAACUUGCAAAGAAAUACGGAACAAAAAUUCCUUUAAAAGACGACUCGGAACUGCGGGGCGUCGGAUUCCGUGGCUGGAAUAAUCUCCCAGCGACAUGGCUCGAUGUCAUCUGAAACAGGACAGUAUCCAGCGAUCGUUACCUUAUCACCCGACGCUGCUGCGGAUCCAAAUUCGAACACCGUAACCUCCGUAGGUCGGCGACGCACCUCCUCCGCUCCGUUCAUACCAGGUAUUUCCCCCGCGCUGCUUGAACUAGAAGAUUCGGUUAUCUGGAUAGACGGAGCAAUGGAUUUUACGGCUGGAGAUGCGCUCCCCUUCCACCACGAUCGUAGACCCAUUAAUUAAUUUCUAGGGUUUAGAUUCUGGAGAGAGGAGGGGUCGAUGGUACUUGACCAGAUUUUUUAUGGAUAAGAAUUUUUCUUUGCAAUAUAUAUUUUUACAAAUUAGGGUCGGUCGGCAGUUAUUCGGUCAGGUCUCAAACCCGAUAACUAAGACCGUAAGAAGGUGGGUUAUACUGUUAAUCUGUUAUGCACACCACAUGGACUUAAUAUGUAAUUUCCCAAAGAGAAAUAUAUAAUUUGACCGUAGUUGAAUCUGUAAAUAUAAUUUGGCCGUAUUUAUUAUUGUUUAACGUUUAAUGAUAAUAAAUCGAUAACGAUUAAAAAUAAACCAUGAGGUUUUAGUGUUUUACAGCCCACAUAUAUAUAAUUGAGUUUAAAAGGAAUUGUAUUAUAUAAUUAAAAUUCGAUGAUGAUCUAUCCAAGUUUGGCAAACAAAUCAUCAAGAGCGCUCUUGGAUGCAGCAUAUGAUGCAACAGCGUCUGUACUGCUCUUCAUCCUUGCAGCAUAAUCCAACUGAAAUUAAACAAGCAAUAAUUAAAAAUCGAUUCUGAAAUAAUCGAGAAUGUAGAUCAAUCGAUUCUGAAAUAAGUAAACACAGUACCUCGUCGAGUUUGGUGUAAACCGUGCUCUCUAGUUCUUUAAGCAUCUUCUUCUCGUCCUUAGUCUUGGCAGCUAUGACAGUCCUUAGAUCGAACCGGAGGUACCCGGCUUUCAAUCGAAGAUCGUUUUGAACGUAAGGCCAUGCCUUCUUUUCGAUAAAACUCUUCACCUUUAAGAUAUCGGCUUUCGAUUCCUUAGCCCUCACCAAAGCCUCCACCGGGGGAAGUGGCUGGAUGAAGAAACGAUCAGACAGUGGAAGAUCUAGGUCACGUGCCUCGUCGGAGUUCAAUGUUCCGGCUGGAUGAAGAACACAUGUGAUUUAUUGAUAUAUAUUUUCAAAUCAUUAGUAUGUAGGUACUAACUAACUACUAAUCAUAGUAUGCUUGACUCACGAAGACCGCCGGAAGGAGGGGGAGGGGCACCGAGCUUGAUCGAUUUAGGAUCGGCUAGAACAGCCUGAACGAAAGAUCCAGAUGCCAAAGUGGUCGCAACGAGCCCAAGAACGGAUCUACGGCUGGUGUUAGAGCUAUCUGCUUGAGCUUGAGCACGUACAUUAAUAGCCAAUUGUCUCCCAGUUGUGUAUUGCUUCUUGGAACAUCUACCGGUUCCGGCGAAACGAGAAGAGUUAGUAAGGUGGAGACUGCCUUCCAGAACCGCCUGAGUGGAACCUAGAACCGAGGCCAUGUUUGGUGCUAUAAAGUUUUGGUAAUGGACGAAGCCUGAGGUAUUUCAGACUCUCAGUGUUGUGCCCCUAAUAAUUAUGCUUCUUCUCCUCCCCUCCCAUUCCGUACUGGAGGGAGUGGUUAUCUGCUUAUUUCGUGAUUUUGAAUUUGGAUAGAGUAGGAACCAAUAGACCUUAGCCACGUGUUUCACGAAAAAUCUCCUUCACGGAAGAAAGAUACGAGACAACACGUGGAGUGCUGCGAUUGGUGUGAUGUAUUAUUCCAUUAUCAAGUUUAAAUUAAAAACAAAAUACCAAAAAACCGUCGUUUUAAUAUUUUCAUUAAGUUUGCAAUUACCCAAAAUUUAAUCUACCAUUUAAUAAUUAAUAUUAUGUUCUGUAAAAUUAAAUAAGAGGAUAAAUUAACCGAAGGUGCAAUCGGGGCGGAUUUAAAACGGGUUUAACAAAACUCGGGCCUGGAUCAGUCGGAUCCUUGUCUGGGACUGGGCUUGGGCCGGAAUCGUGCCUUGAUCUGAACAGGAUCCUAGUCGGGCUUCGGUUGUGGAUCGAAUCAUCUUUGGAAUACUUUUAAUGGGCGGAGGCCCGAGGGUAUAAUCAGUAUCCUUAUCUCAAAAAAAAACAUAAUUAAUUGAGAUAAGGAUGCAGAAAAAAGACAUCCUAUUUUCGAUUGAGAUAAGGAAGAAGAAGAAAAAGUACCAUUUUUCAAUUGUAAGAUUAUCCAAUGUUUAUGUGGCUCUGUGACUAUGCCAGAUGGCAUGUGGGUGAUGUGAGUUCACAUCUCUAUUUUAUUAUUUACAAAAAAAAUAAAAAUAAUGUAGUUGUACUAGUGUUACAAUUUGGGGGUGAUUCAGAAGUCAGUUUCCGGUAUGCUGUGCAAAGCAGGCUGCCAAUGAUGAUCGGACAAAUGAUCCUUGUUCGGAACAAGAGGCGCGAAACCAGCUUCAUUAAUCUGGGAGCUUGACAGUCGAUCCAAAUAUCCCUGAAGCUCUUUCUUACUGAUCUUGAUCUUAAUCACCUUAUAAUCUUUCUUUUCCAUAUCAACAGAUGUUUCGCGCCGAUCCUCGUCCUCCCAACAGUAUUCAUCGUCUGCCCAGGACACCACCGCUCGUUUGUUAAUGCAAUUUCCCAUCCCUCCUCUUGACUCCUCGAUCCCGCUCAAUCAGUUUCCUUCUUAAAGCAAUACCUAAUUUAUG
rnacentral:lncRNA from 1 species